UCCGGCUUGACGCCGGCAGUCCCCCGAGAGUCCUCAGCUUUACCUGUUAGUAACACGGGGCAAGGGUUGCGCUCGUUGCGGGACUUAACCCAACAUCUCACGACACGAGCUGACGACAGCCAUGCACCACCUGCACACCAGCCACAAGGGAACCGAUAUCUCUACCGGCGUCUAGUGCAUGUCAAACCCCGGUAAGGUUCUUCGCGUUGCAUCGAAUUAAUCCACAUGCUCCGCCGCUUGUGCGGGCCCCCGUCAAUUUCUUUGAGUUUUAGCCUUGCGGCCGUACUCCCCAGGCGGGGUGCUUAAUGCGUUAGCUGCGGCACGGACGGAGUCGACAACGCCCACACCUAGCACCCAUCGUUUACAGCGUGGACUAC
rnacentral:misc_RNA from 1 species